AUUACCUAUAUCCCCAAAAUUCCUAAAAUCCUUAUUAACCCCUCACCCCUACUGAAUCAUUUUAUAACGCUAUAAAAACUAUUAUGCUAGAACUAGUAACAAGAAAUUGCCUUUCUCCUGAAUGUAAGUCAGAACCGAAAUAAACCCUAUCGGUAUUUAACGCGAGUGCAUUAAAUAUAGCAACACACACCUAGAAAAUCCUAUUAACCCCCCCCCCGUCAACCUUACACCAAAACAUUACAGGAAAAAUUAAAAAAAAGAGAAGGAACUCGGCAAACCAUAGCCCCGCCUGUUUACCAAAAACAUCGCCUCUUGCUCCCCAUAAGAGGUCCAGCCUGCCCAGUGACAUAGUUUAACGGCCGCGGUAUCCUAACCGUGCGAAGGUAGCAUAAUCACUUGUUCUUUAAAUAGGGACUAGUAUCAACGGCAUCACGAGGGCUAUACUGUCUCCUCCUUCCAAUCAGUGAAACUGAUCUCCCCGUGAAGAAGCGGGGAUGCAUAUAUUAGACGAGAAGACCCCAUGGAGCUUAAAAUUUAAUGUGCACCUCCAUCCAUUAAAUCAAUAUAACCGGACAACUGUACAUGAAUUUUGGGUUGGGGUGACCGCGGAGUAUAAAAUAACCUCCCCGACAAACGGGCUAACGCCCUUAUCUACGAACUACCACUCUAAGAAUCAAUAAUUUGAUGUUUAAUGACCCGAUAACUCGAUCAACGGACCAAGUUACCCUGGGGAUAACAGCGCAAUCUACUUUAAGAGUCCCUAUCGACAAGUAGGCUUACGACCUCGAUGUUGGAUCAGGGUAUCCUAGUGGUGCAGCCG
rnacentral:rRNA from 1 species